rnacentral:rRNA from 1 species
AUUGAACGCUGGCGGCAGGCUUAACACAUGCAAGUCGAGCGGAGAUGAGGUGCUUGCACCUUAUCUUAGCGGCGGACGGGUGAGUAAUGCUUAGGAAUCUGGCUAUUAGUGGGGGACAACAUUCCGAAAGGAAUGCUAAUACCGCAUACGUCCUACGGGAGAAAGCAGGGGAUCUUCGGACCUUGCGCUAAUAGAUGAGCCUAAGUCGGAUUAGCUAGUUGGUGGGGUAAAGGCCUACCAAGGCGACGAUCUGUAGCGGGUCUGAGAGGAUGAUCCGCCACACUGGGACUGGAACACGGCCCAGACUCCUACGGGAGGCAGCAGUGGGGAAUAUUGGACAAUGGGGGAAACCCUGAUCCAGCCAUGCUGCGUGUGUGAAGAAGGCCUUAUGGUUGUAAAGCACUUUAAGCGAGGAGGAGGCUACUGAGACUAAUACUCUUGGAUAGUGGACGUUACUCGCAGAAUAAGCACCGGCUAUCUCUGUGCCAGCCGCCGCAGUAACAC